rnacentral:rRNA from 1 species
UACGUAGGGUGCGAGCGUUAAUCGGAAUUACUGGGCGUAAAGCGUGCGCAGGCGGUUUUUCAAGUCUGAUGUGACAGCCCCGGGCUCAACCUGGGAACUGCGCUUGAUACUGGUAAACUAGAGUUUAGUAGAGGGAAGUGGAAUUCCACGUGUAGCGGUGAAAUGCGUAGAUAUGUGGAGGAAUACCGAUGGCGAAGGCAGCCCCCUGGGUCGAUACUGACGCUCAUGCACGAAAGCGUGGGGAGCAAACAGG